rnacentral:rRNA from 1 species
AGGGGAGCCGUAGGGAAACCGAGUCUUAAUUGGGCGUUAAGUUGCAGGGUAUAGACCCGAAACCCGGUGAUCUAGCCAUGGGCAGGUUGAAGGUUGGGUAACACUAACUGGAGGACCGAACCGACUAAUGUUGAAAAAUUAGCGGAUGACCUGUGGCUGGGGGUGAAAGGCCAAUCAAACCGGGAGAUAGCUGGUUCUCCCCGAAAGCUAUUUAGGUAGCGCCUCGUGAAUUCAUCUCCGGGGGUAGAGCACUGUUUCGGCUAGGGGGCCAUCCCGGCUUACCAACCCGAUGCAAACUGCGAAUACCGGAGAAUGUUAUCACGGGAGACACACGGCGGGUGCUAACGUCCGUCGUGAAGAGGGAAACAACCCAGACCGCCAGCUAAGGUCCCAAAGUCAUGGUUAAGUGGGAAACGAUGUGGGAAGGCCCAGACAGCCAGGAUGUUGGCUUAGAAGCAGCCAUCAUUUAAAGAAAGCGUAAUAGCUCACUGGUCGAGUCGGCCUGCGCGGAAGAUGUAACGGGGCUAAACCAUGCACCGAAGCUGCGGCAGCGACACUCAGGUGUUGUUGGGUAGGGGAGCGUUCUGUAAGCCUGUGAAGGUGUGUCGUGAGGCAUGCUGGAGGUAUCAGAAGUGCGAAUGCUGACAUAAGUAACGAUAAAGCGGGUGAAAAGCCCGCUCGCCGGAAGACCAAGGGUUCCUGUCCAACGUUAAUCGGGGCAGGGUGAGUCGACCCCUAAGGCGAGGCCGAAAGGCGUAGUCGAUGGGAAACGGGUUAAUAUUCCCGUACUUGGUGUUACUGCGAAGGGGGGACGGAGAAGGCUAUGUUGGCCGGGCGACGGUUGUCCCGGUUUAAGCGUGUAGGUGUGUGUUCCAGGUAAAUCCGGUUCACUUUAACACUGAGGCGUGACGACGAGGCACUACGGUGCUGAAGCAACAAAUGCCCUGCUUCCAGGAAAAGCCUCUAAGCAUCAGGUAACAUCAAAUCGUACCCCAAACCGACACAGGUGGUCAGGUAGAGAAUACCAAGGCGCUUGAGAGAACUCGGGUGAAGGAACUAGGCAAAAUGGUGCCGUAACUUCGGGAGAAGGCACGCUGACACGUAGGUGAAGUGAUUUACUCAUGGAGCUGAAGUCAGUCGAAGAUACCAGCUGGCUGCAACUGUUUAUUAAAAACACAGCACUGUGCAAACACGAAAGUGGACGUAUACGGUGUGACGCCUGCCCGGUGCCGGAAGGUUAAUUGAUGGGGUCAGCGCAAGCGAAGCUCCUGAUCGAAGCCCCGGUAAACGGCGGCCGUAACUAUAACGGUCCUAAGGUAGCGAAAUUCCUUGUCGGGUAAGUUCCGACCUGCACGAAUGGCGUAAUGAUGGCCAGGCUGUCUCCACCCGAGACUCAGUGAAAUUGAACUCGCUGUGAAGAUGCAGUGUACCCGCGGCAAGACGGAAAGACCCCGUGAACCUUUACUAUAGCUUGACACUGAACAUUGAGCCUUGAUGUGUAGGAUAGGUGGGAGGCUUUGAAGCGUGGACGCCAGUCUGCGUGGAGCCGACCUUGAAAUACCACCCUUUAAUGUUUGAUGUUCUAACGUGGACCCGUUACCCGGGUUGCGGACAGUGUCUGGUGGGUAGUUUGACUGGGGCGGUCUCCUCCUAAAGAGUAACGGAGGAGCACGAAGGUUGGCUAAUCCUGGUCGGACAUCAGGAGGUUAGUGCAAUGGCAUAAGCCAGCUUGACUGCGAGCGUGACGGCGCGAGCAGGUGCGAAAGCAGGUCAUAGUGAUCCGGUGGUUCUGAAUGGAAGGGCCAUCGCUCAACGGAUAAAAGGUACUCCGGGGAUAACAGGCUGAUACCGCCCAAGAGUUCAUAUCGACGGCGGUGUUUGGCACCUCGAUGUCGGCUCAUCACAUCCUGGGGCUGAAGUAGGUCCCAAGGGUAUGGCUGUUCGCCAUUUAAAGUGGUACGCGAGCUGGGUUUAGAACGUCGUGAGACAGUUCGGUCCCUAUCUGCCGUGGGCGCUGGAGAACUGAGGGGGGCUGCUCCUAGUACGAGAGGACCGGAGUGGACGCAUCACUGGUGUUCGGGUUGUCAUGCCAAUGGCACUGCCCGGUAGCUAAAUGCGGAAGAGAUAAGUGCUGAAAGCAUCUAAGCACGAAACUUGCCCCGAGAUGAGUUCU